AUAAGAAAUAGAGAAUGGUUGUGGUUUGGCCACUUUGAUUUUGAAGUACAUUUCGUGAAUCGGAAAUAAAAUACCGUUAGAAUUGGCCUGAGUAAUGUAGUAGCGAAUAACUACUGUUGUCAAAGCUGGAAGUUUAUUAGCUAGCAUAGGCUAGGCUGGCAGCCGGUUGAAAAGAUGGCGGAACUGGAAGUUGAUGUGGUGCGUAAAUAUAAUGGCGGGGAAUCAAGGAGAAUUGGAAUAUGGGAAACGUAGAAAAGUAGCAUACAGUGAUGGAAAUGCCCCUUCUUAUCUUGUAGGAGUAGGAGUUUGUAGGAGUUUUACGAGAGGCGGGCUUGCUUUGACAUUUCGUUCUUUUGGAUCAGAAGGAUCUCAAGGUGGUAAAUUCUGGCGUUUCGUGGGAAGUCGAUGCUGCAGAGAUUUAAAAUAUUCCUGGAGUGAUUGAUGCUUGUCGGAUGAAUCGUGGGGUGAAAGAAGAAAAAGUUCUGUUCUUUUGUUUUUUGAUAUGGUCUCUCCUUACUCCAGUGCAGUUGGGAUAUAUAAACUACAAAAUCAGAGCAUUGGUUCCAAGAUUAAUGCAGUGUGACCACUGUAAAACUUUUGGACAUGUUUCAAUAGUUUGCAGAAGGGAGAAGCCAAGAUGUCCAAGUUGUGAAAAAGAUAAUAUCAUGUGUUUUGAAAAUGUGACAUGUUGUAAUUGCGGUGGGAACCAUGAAGCCAUGUCUUUGGAAUUCCCCACAAGGGUGAAAGAAUGAGGUGGCCAAAGUCAGGGCUGUCCAGAGUUUUUCAUUUGCAGCAGGUGUUAUAAUGGUUGAGAGUUUGAGUGGGCUUGAGGAUCUCCUGAGCAUCGAGCCUGCAUUCAGUGAGUUCCAGGAGACCCUCUUCAACCAAGCCUCGGUGGGCCUGGAGCGCGGUGUCCAGUACAAGGAGGUCAACGAGAAACCGGACACAGGCAUCUUACUGUUUCUCGCAAGGCCGUCUCCACACUUCCUGCUCAAGCCUGCACAGAAGUGCAUAGAGUGGCUUAUACACAGCCCCCCCCAUGGAUAACUUGUCAGAGGGGUUGUUUUUAGUACUUCCGAGAACUGAAGUUGUCUCACUGCUAUGAAAGCUUCAUGUAAACUGAAAAUAGCUUGACAUUUUGUCUACUGGUAUUUCUUUCCUGUAGCCCUCACAGAUUCCACAUCCACCUGUAUAAUGGGGAGAGCCUGCUUUCCUGUGUGUUGCCCUUAUUAUGAGACUAAGGUGUAUGUAAGUCAUUCAGUUAAAGGACCCCACUAACCUAUGGAAUUGGCUGGAGGGGCUUCAGAUUUCCUGACAGAAACCAGGAGUUCCCUUUGGCCAGAGGAACCCUAAUCACUGACUGUUACAAAGACUUGGGCUUCAUGGUUUUCAUCUACACCCUGGUCACUAAGUCAAUCAGGACUACAAGGCUUCCACCUACAUGAAAGUGUGCCAGCUCGUUGUGAAGGUGGUCGAUGAAGUCCCAGCUGGUGGACACCCUGGCCCUGCAGAUCAGCAAGUCACGGCAAGGAGCCCCUGCUGCCCAAAGUGGGCCUGGGCUGCCUCAUCGUCCUCCUGCAGAACCAAAAUGAGGGCAUUGUUGGCCCAAAAACCUCUGGCCAGAUGUGUGCUGUGACUUCUUUGGUCCCCACCCUCCAGGCCACAGCAUCAGGCCCUUACUCUGCUGCCUGGUUCACGCCGUUGUCUCCUCCAGCACUG